CCUACGGGGGGCAGCAGUGGGGAAUAUUGGACAAUGGGCGAAAGCCUGAUCCAGCCAUGCCGCGUGUGUGAAGAAGGCCUUCGGGUUGUAAAGCACUUUCAGUGGGGAAGAAAGCCUUGGGGCUAAUACCCUCGAGGAAGGACAUCACCCACAGAAGAAGCACCGGCUAACUCCGUGCCAGCAGCCGCGGUAAUACGGAGGGUGCGAGCGUUAAUCGGAAUUACUGGGCGUAAAGCGCGCGUAGGCGGUCUGAUAAGCCGGUUGUGAAAGCCCCGGGCUCAACCUGGGAACGGCAUCCGGAACUGUCAGGCUAGAGUGCAGGAGAGGAAGGUAGAAUUCCCGGUGUAGCGGUGAAAUGCGUAGAGAUCGGGAGGAAUACCAGUGGCGAAGGCGGCCUUCUGGACUGACACUGACGCUGAGGUGCGAAAGCGUGGGUAGCAAACAGGAUUAGCUACCCUGGUAGUC
rnacentral:rRNA from 1 species